AGGGACAUUCUCUAUGGACCAAGCAUUCAAAUAUGUGAGUCUAAAGAGGCCAUUCCUAUUCUAACCAUCACACUGAUCAAAAGCUGAAACAAAAUGAUUUUAUGGAAGAGGCUAGUGAACACUCAAUUAUAAUGUUCCCAUUCAGCUUCCUGGUUCCAAUCCAGAAGCCCACAUAUAUCAGAGACACUGUGUCCUAGUAGCUUCCACAUUUGUGCACUCAAUUUGCAGUAAUAUUGUGGGCUUAUAGUUUAGCAAAUUUUCCCAUAAAAUGUGGAAAGAAAUGAUAUUAUUAACUUGUCACAGAGAAAUUAAGGUUGCCAAGGAUUACAAAGCCCACGUAUAGUUAGUGAGCACCUUGCAGACACACAGGAUGUACUUCUCCAAGAUGGUGCAAUGGAGCAGAAACAGCUCAUGUCCCUAAUAAGAAGCCACGAGGGACCUCAUUGCUUAUUGAAGAGUCUUGCAGCAUACUUUGUUCGUUGGUCUUUUCUUAAUGGUUGGCUAUUUCUCCUCCAAUUCAAGGUAAGCAGAUAACUUGUUAUGAUUACUUAAAUUAAAGAGAAGAGGCCAAAGAGGAGAAAUGGGAGAUGAGGAGAAAGAAGAGUUGGGGGAGAUGGAGGGAUGGAAAGAAAGAAAGAGGAGAAGAAAAGAGGAUAAAGAAAAUGUGGAAUAAGAAGGGGAAGAAGAGGAGGAGAGGGAGGAGAUAGGGGGGUGAAGAAAGUGAGGAAGAGGAGGAGGACAAGGAGGAGGAUAGAAAGAAGGAGGAGGAAGAAGGAAGGAGAGAGGAGGUAGAGAAGGAGAAGGAGUUUGUCCCUUUACCCUCUCCAAGUUGAGAUCCCUACUUUCAGCUGAUCUCUCUAAACACAGUCAUUAGUCAAUUGGUUUUAACAUGGGCAUAAAGAUUGAUAUCUACCAUGGUGACAAAGAAGAAAUCCUUUAAUUCACACAAAUUAUAAGCUGAUGACUUGAUUAAGAAGCCUCAUUGUUUCAACUUUGGGAAAGUGAAGUGUUUUUUGAACUACUAACGUGAAAUGUAAGUCACAGUUGGUGACUCUCAUCUCUCUCUUGCUCUUUUCUUGCUUUCUCCCUUUGUCUUUACCAAUUUAGAACAUUGCAACUAUUAGGUACCAUUCAGAGUCAAUGCGGACCUGAACACACAACUGGCCACGGAGGGAGGCCCUUCAUAAACAGAUCUUGCUGAGUUUAAUCAGAAUCUGCCUCAUGCACAUAGACACAGAUCCUCUUAGAGAUGAAAAGGUUGUCUGUGCAUACUUACAUCAGGGUGUGGCUACACAUUGAAAUUCACUGGUCUUGAGAUCUUUCUGGUCCUAUAGGGUACUGAUGUAUGUAUAUCCUGGUCUAUUAAUCACACAUGCAAAAAGGAAUUUUAGCCUGCAGAGUUGGCAUUUCUUUUUAAGUUUGUUCUUGUUGUUUUUGGUUUUUUAACCAUGAUAAAAAACAUAAUGGAAGAAAUCACUAAGGUAUUAACAUCAACAGUCAAGAUGAUAAUCUGGUAAGUAUGCAAUAACAGCAGUAGCAGAGGAAGAAGGCUGGUGGUCACUCAUAGAACAAAGCAGGCGCCCUCAGGUGCAAGCCCUCUUUGCACUCUCCACAGUCUAUGGGAAGGAGAUGGGAAGGGAAUUGCACAUAAGCCAGACGAUUUCCAGGAAAACAGGCUUAACAGUUUGUAAAUAUAUAAAGCCUUUUGAGGACACAAAAUAAAGUGUGGUCUUUAAAGAAAAUAGGCUUAGUUACAGGAUGGGCAGACAGUGUUUUGAACACGGUUGGAUCAAAUGGUGAAGACCAUAUUUCAAAGAUGCAACUUCUGCGUGUUUAUGUCUAAGCAGCUUCUGGUCUUUAAAACUGUCUUUCAUACAAAUGUGAGAGAUGACAAACUUUAUUGGGGGUCCUGAAGCUUUUAGUAAGGGGGUGCCAUAUGGAAUAAGAAAGAAGAGUUAGGACUAAAGGAAGAAAGGGGAACAGCCAGAGCAGUGGGUGGAGCUACGGCAGGAACAGCCACCCACUGAUCUAAGUCAUUCUUGAACACGAUUAUGAGUGUUUUCAUACAUAUGUGAUGCAUUGAGUAACUGAAUGGAUCCCAUCUGGGAGAUAUAUAAAGUGGACACUGAAGUGACUCAUCAGGCAGCUGCAGAGAAUACACAGAUGAGAAUGGCAGGGAACUCCACCAUGAAGAUGCUGAGCAUCAUCCACACCAUUUCCAGAAGAUGGAAAAAGCCACAUGACUGUGGAACACCACAAAAUUGAGGAAGAGUUUGAAGCUCACGGCUGCCAGAGUGAAACCUUGGGCUCUGGUAUUAGCUGCCUUGUACAUGGCUGAUUGGAACACAAAGGAAAAUAAUCUUGUAAGUUGUU
rnacentral:lncRNA from 1 species